rnacentral:rRNA from 1 species
UACGUAGGGUGCAAGCGUUGUCCGGAAUUAUUGGGCGUAAAGAGCUCGUAGGCGGUCUGUCGCGUCGGAUGUGAAAACCCAGGGCUCAACCCUGGGCCUGCGUUCGAUACGGGCAGACUAGAGUUCGGUAGGGGAGACUGGAAUUCCUGGUGUAGCGGUGAAAUGCGCAGAUAUCAGGAGGAACACCGGUGGCGAAGGCGGGUCUCUGGGCCGAAACUGACGCUGAGGAGCGAAAGCGUGGGGAGCGAACAGG